rnacentral:rRNA from 1 species
ACUCAAAGGAAUAGACGGGGGCCCGCACAAGCGGAGGAACAUGUGGUUUAAUUCGAUGAUACGCGAGGAACCUUACCCGGGCUCGAACGGCCGUUGAGUAUGUAUGAAAGUAUAUAGUCGCAAGACAACGGUCGAGGUGCUGCAUGGUUGUCGUCAGCUCGUGCCGUGAGGUGUCGGCUCAAGUGCCAUAACGAGCGCAACCCUUACCGUUAGUUACCAGCAUGCAAUGAUGGGGACUCUGGCGGGACUGCCACCGUAAGGUGUGAGGAAGGUGGGGAUGACGUCAAAUCAGCACGGCCCUUAUGUCCGGGGCGACACACGUGUUACAAUGGGAGGGACAAAAGGCUGCUACCCGGCGACGGGAUGCGAAUCCCGAAACCCUCUCCCGGUUCGGAUCGGAGUCUGCAACCCGACUCCGUGAAGCCGGAUUCGCUAGUAAUCGCACAUCAGCCAUGGCGCGGUGAAUACGUUCCCGGGCCUUGUACACACCGCCCGU